rnacentral:rRNA from 1 species
CACGUAGGGGGCGAGCGUUGUCCGGAUUUAUUGGGCGUAAAGAGCUCGUAGGCGGCUCGGUAAGUCGGGUGUGAAACCUCCAGGCUCAACCUGGAGACGCCACCUGAUACUGCUGUGGCUAGAGUCCGGUAGGGGAGUGUGGAACUCCUGGUGUAGCGGUGAAAUGCGCAGAUAUCAGGAAGAACACCAGCGGCGAAGGCGGCACUCUGGGCCGGAACUGACGCUGAGGAGCGAAAGCGUGGGGAGCAAACAGG